rnacentral:rRNA from 1 species
GACGGAGGAUGCAAGUGUUAUCCGGAAUCACUGGGCGUAAAGCGUCUGUAGGUGGUUUAAAAAGUCUAUUGUUAAAAAUUGAGCUUAACUUCAAAGAUGCAAUGGAAACUUUUAAACUUGAGUAUGGUAGGGGUAGAGGGAAUUUCCAGUGGAGCGGUGAAAUGCGUAGAUAUUGGAAAGACCACCAAUGGCGAAGGCACUCUACUGGGCCAUUACUGACACUGAGAGACGAAAGCUAGGGGAGCAAAUGAG